rnacentral:lncRNA from 1 species
CAGCUGAAGGCCUAGAGUCCAAGGCAGUGUCCUCCACGAGUCCAGCCAGUGGCCCAGAGCCCACGGCAAGGUCUCAUGCUUGUGUGUAUUGAGGAUCUGCACCUGAAGGCCCAAAGGCCAGUGGUGGAAGACAGAAAACCUCCACCGGUGAGAUGAUUUGUGCCACCAGGCUGAGGGAUCCAUGCCGGAGCCAGAAAGUGAGGCUCACAGUGAAGAUCAGAGCUCCCCUGACCAGAACAGCAGCCACCCAAGCUCCUCCUCUGAUGAGAACACCCAGCUCCCAUCAGGAAAAUCAGCCUCAGCAAGCUUCUCCUAGAAAUCAACAGCCCUGAUCUUCCCCUCUAGUCCUCUUUUUAUGCCGUUGGCAACAGUCCUAAGGUCUCUGUAGGAACUGUCCCCAGUGAGGAAAAAUUGCAAAGUAGGAAACCAGACACCACGCCGUCACGUGCCGUGAAGCCAGUCAGCAUCUCUCCUCAUCCAGCAUGGAGCUGUACGUCUGACCUGGCAGACGGGGCUCAGGCAAGGGUCUUGAAGCCAAGCAGAGCAGAUACAGGAAACGCAGAGGAGGAGGCGAGGGAAGAGAGCUGUGCAUUCUGACACCCCGACAACAGUUUCUGCUACUGUGUCCCCUGCAGUUGGCGACAACUGGGACGCCUCUGUCUCCUGGUGUGGGCACUGUCUUCAGCACCACAUCGAAUGCUUAGCCCUGCCAGGGUAACGCCCUCACUCCACAGUAGAGAAGGCUGGCGCCAGAGUGGGUCAGCGGAGUGCUCAGUGGCAUGGUGGUCCAUGUGCCAACCAGCUGCCCACGGUGCCACGUGGGUUCCUGAGCUGGGGCUCAGCGGGUCCUGGAGCUGUGAUCACGGGCUGUAUUCCUUUCAGGAAAGGGCUUUCCGAAGGGUGUGGUCUGGAACCCGACCUUCUCUGAGUCCUGUCUGCGGAUGGCUGGGAAGGCAGGGUGGGGUGGGUCCACUCAAACUUUGUCACAGAUGUCGCCUGCCUGCCUGCAAGUGCCUUUGUCUGGAGAAAAGAUUAUUAAAGAGCUUUAAAUUCCCCACAGAACACAGCGAGAUGUGUGUGAGAUGCACAUGGCCCUGCGGUUGUUUGUCUCAUGUAUCUUUAACUGUAUUUGGUUAUUUUUGUUGUUACAAUCAAG